UUUUUUUUUUUUUGCUUGAACAGCACGUGCAAGUCACGUGCUGCGUCUGGGGCGGUCACGUGUGAAAUCACGUGCGAGGCUCACGUGAGAGUCAUGUGUACCUUUUUUUUUUUGUUUUUUCUGGGGCGGAUCCGGCUAAUGAACUGGUAACGGGUGAGGGACUUACCCGUUAACUGGUGUUUCUGCAACCUCCCGGCGGUUUCGGGAGGUGGUACCGGGCUCUGCGGCUACGGUUGUCAAGUGGUCCCUGUGACCUGCUGCAGUGGAUGGCAAUUGGUUACAAACCCCCUGACUGGUUGGAGAGAUCAGAGGAGAAGAAAUUUCUCCUUGCUCCUUCUGGUGAUAGCCGAUCGAGAGGGAGGUGAACAGAGACGUAAGACUCUUCCUCUUCUUCACACUGCGCGCUGGUCGUCGGCACUCAUCAUGCUCCGGCGUCCAUGGUGCAAAGUCUUCCGUGAAGAACUCGUGCGGCAUACGAAGCAGGGGCAGCCUGUCCAUACACCAGGUCUUUGGGGAUUAGGACGGCUACUGGUGUACCGAGAGGGAGUCAGGAAGGAAAUAGACUGACAGGAUCAGGGCGUUGGCACAGAGGCAAAGCCCUGGCUGGCUCUGAUACCAAACU
rnacentral:lncRNA from 1 species